rnacentral:SRP_RNA from 1 species
GCCGGGCAUGGUGGCACGGCCUGUUGUCCCAGCUACUCGGGAGGCUGAGGUGGGAGGAUUGCUUGAGUCCAGGAGUUCUGGGCUGUAGUGUGCUAUGCCAGUUGGGUGUCCGCACUGAGUUUGGCAUCAAUAUGGUGACCUCCUAGGAGUGGGGGACCACCAGGUUGCCUAAGGAGGGGUGAACCGGCCCAGGUCGGAAACGGGGCAGGUCAAAACUCCCGUGCUGAUCAGUAAUGGGAUCGCACCUGUGAAUAGCCACUACACCCCAGCCUGGGCAACAUGGUGAGACCUCGUCUCU